UACGGGGGGGGCAAGCGUUGUUCGGAAUUACUGGGCGUAAAGGGCUCGUAGGCGGCCAACUAAGUCAUACGUGAAAUCCCCCGGCUUAACCGGGGAACUGCGUCUGAUACUGGAUGGCUUGAGUUCGGGAGAGGGAUGCGGAAUUCCAGGUGUAGCGGUGAAAUGCGUAGAUAUCUGGAGGAACACCGGUGGCGAAGGCGACGUCCUGGACCGGCAUUGACGCUGAGGCGCGAAAGCCAGGGGAGCAAACGGG
rnacentral:rRNA from 1 species